rnacentral:rRNA from 1 species
AGGCAGCAGUUGGGAAUCUUCCGCAAUGGACGAAAGUCUGACGGAGCAACGCCGCGUGAGCGAAGAAGGCCUUCGGGUCGUAAAGCUCUGUUGUCAGGAAAGAACAAGUACCGGAGUAACUGCCGGCACCUUGACGGUACCUGACCAGAAAGCCACGGCUAACUACGUGCCAGCAGCCGCGGUAAUACGUAGGUGGCAAGCGUUGUCCGGAAUUAUUGGGCGUAAAGCGCGCGCAGGCGGCCCUUUAAGUCUGAUGUGAAAGCCCACGGCUCAACCGUGGAGGGUCAUUGGAAACUGGGGGACUUGAGUGCAGAAGAGGAGAGCGGAAUUCCACGUGUAGCGGUGAAAUGCGUAGAGAUGUGGAGGAACACCAGUGGCGAAGGCGGCUCUCUGGUCUGUAACUGAUGCUGAGGCGCGGAAGCGUGGGGAGCGAACAGGAUUAGAUACCCUAGUAGUCC